ensembl:lncRNA novel transcript
CUGCUAGCACGUUUUCACCUCUCAAUACAAGAAGCUACUUCAUAGAAGAAGCAAACUUAGAAUACAUUUAAGUUUGCGUUCAAACUCUUCACUUCCCAAUACCAGUGGGAAAAUGACCACAAAAACACCUUUGAAGACUAUAUUUAUUAUUGGUGAAGAUUGGAGGAAAUAAACUUUUCAUAUAUCGACUACUGUAGGAAGGCCUGAGACAAAACAAUGUUGAAAUUAGGCCAACUGAGAGCCCUAUAAUGGCAUCUAAGUGUUUCAGUGAAAGGAAGAAUCACAUCUCUCACUUUAAAUCAAAAGCUAGGAAUCAUU